UACAGAGGUCCCAAGCGUUAUUCGGAUUCACUGGGCGUAAAGGGUGCGCAGGCGGCCGAGUGUGUGAGGCGUGAAAGCCCGGGGCUUAACCCCGGAAUUGCACCUCAAACUACACGGCUAGAGCAUUGGAGAGGGUAGCAGAAUUCAUGGUGUAGCAGUGAAAUGCGUAGAUAUCAUGAGGAAUACCAGAGGCGAAGGCGGCUACCUGGACAAUUGCUGACGCUCAGGCACGAAAGCGUGGGGAGCAAAAGGG
rnacentral:rRNA from 1 species